UACGGAGGCAGCAGUGAGGAAUAUGGUCAAUGGAGGCAACUCUGAACCAGCCAAGUCGCGUGAAGGAUGAAGGUCUAUGGAUUGUAAACUUCUUUGCAAGGGAAUAAAGUGGGGGACGUGUCCUCCUUUGCAUGUACCUUGCGAAUAAGGAUCGGCUAACUCCGUGCCAGCAGCCGCGGUAAUACGGAGGAUCCGAGCGUUAUCCGGAUUUAUUGGGUUUAAAGGGUGCGCAGGCGGGAUGUUAAGUCGGCGGUGAAAUUUUGCAGCUCAACUGUAAAAGUGCCUUCGAUACUGGCUUUCUUGAGUGUGGAUGAAGUAGGCGGAAUUUGUGGUGUAGCGGUGAAAUGCUUAGAUAUCACGAGGAACUCCGAUUGCGCAGGCAGCUUACUAAACCACUACUGACGCUCAUGCACGAAGGCGUGGGGAUCAAACAGGAUUAGAUACCCUGGUAGUCCACGCAGUAAACGAUGAUUACUAGUUGUUUGCGAUACAAUGUAAGCGACUGAGCGAAAGCGUUAAGUAAUCCACCUGGGGAGUACGUUCGCAAGAAUGAAACUCAAAGGAAUUGACGGGGGCCCGCACAAGCGGAGGAACAUGUGGUUUAAUUCGAUGAUACGCGAGGAACCUUACCCGGGCUUGAAAUGCGGCGGACCGGCAGAGAGAUCUGCCUUCCCUUCGGGGCCGCCGUGUAGGUGCUGCAUGGUUGUCGUCAGCUCGUGCCGUGAGGUGUCGGCUUAAGUGCCAUAACGAGCGCAACCCUCAUCAUUAGUUACUAACAGGUCAUGCUGAGGACUCUAGUGAGACUGCCAUCGUAAGAUGCGAGGAAGGUGGGGAUGACGCCAAAUCAGCACGGCCCUUACGUCCGGGGCGACACACGUGUUACAAUGGGUGGUACAAAGGGCAGCUACCUGGCGACAGGAUGCUAAUCUCCAAAACCACUCUCAGUUCGGAUCGGAGUCUGCAACUCGACUCCGUGAAGCUGGAUUCGCUAGUAAUCGCGCAUCAGCCAUGGCGCGGUGAAUACGUUCCCGGGCCUUGCACACACCGCCCGUA
rnacentral:rRNA from 1 species